GACGAACGCUGGCGGCGUGCCUAAUACAUGCAAGUCGAACGAACCGCGACUAGGUGCUUGCACUUGGUCAAGGUGAGUGGCGAACGGGUGAGUAACACGUGGGUAACCUACCUCAUAGUGGGGGAUAACAGUCGGAAACGACUGCUAAUACCGCAUAGGACAUAGGAUCACAUGAUCCAGUAAGGAAAGGUGGCGCAAGCUAUCGCUAAGAGAUGGACCCGCGGUGCAUUAGCUAGUUGGUAGGGUAAAGGCCUACCAAGGCGAUGAUGCAUAGCCGACCUGAGAGGGUGAUCGGCCACAUUGGGACUGAGACACGGCCCAAACUCCUACGGGAGGCAGCAGUAGGGAAUCUUCCGCAAUGGACGCAAGUCUGACGGAGCAACGCCGCGUGAGUGAAGAAGGUCUUCGGAUCGUAAAGCUCUGUUGUUAGAGAAGAACAGCGCAUAGAGUAACUGUUAUGCGUGUGACGGUAUCUAACCAGAAAGCCACGGCUAACUACGUG
rnacentral:rRNA from 1 species